rnacentral:lncRNA from 1 species
CUGAGAGCUUCCACCGCUCGCUCGGCUGUCAGGCGCGGUGGCCAAGUGGUUUCCAGGCGCAGACUUGCAACUCUGGUCACUGGAGAAGAUGGCUGUCUGCAGGACCCUGACCGUGUGAUCAUCCUUCUGGCCAGCCUGGCCUCUUGCUCCUUAGGCUCUGGUCAUCCCAGCUGGGCCUCCACAGCUCUCCCAGAGACAGUUUUUAAAGGGCUGGGUUUGCUCAGGAGCCUCAGCAUUCUUCCACCCAGGAGAAAGGACAGCGUCAAGGUGCUCCUAUUAAGCAGCCGGAGAACUACUCCGGCUCCGUGGCCACAAGUUAGAGCUGAAGAGAUUGUUGAGGCUCUGCCUUCAGAGCCCAGUCGAGAAGAUGCGACCAUCUGCAGCUGGCAGAAUUUUACAUCCGAUGCUUUUCCCUGCUGCUCAGAGUCAUCUUUUGAUCCUCAUUUUACAGGAUGGGCUGAGGCAUGAGUGGUCCGGAUACCCACCAGAAGACACAGCUAGGAUGGGCAGAGCUGGGGCUGACUCCCAGGGCCAGGGCUUUCAGUAAUAAUUACUUAUAAUUAGCAUUCGGUUCUAACAAGCAUAUCCUGAUGCUUACUAAUACUUAAGCAUUUGGUCAGCCAGUAUCCGGAGGUGCGUGGGUGGGUGCUGCUGUCUCAUGGAGGAGGUAUCUGCACCACAGGGAGGCUGGGUUCCCACCCCUGGGUCUUCCUGACGUGACUGCGCACCUGGCCAGCCUGCAUCCACAGCUGCCCCCAUUCAGCCUGCCAUGUGGCCCAGGAUCCCAGUUCUGGGCCGGGCAAGAUUUAACCCCAUUUUCAAAACACACCAGAGGCGUGGCCUAGGUAACGCAGCUGUGGCUGGCAGAGGCCCCUGGUUCCCUGCUCCCUGCCUGCACAGAGGUAUCUAGGAAAGAGC